GACGAACGCUGGCGGCGUGCUUAACACAUGCAAGUCGAGCGGUAAGGCCACUUCGGUGGUACACGAGCGGCGAACGGGUGAGUAACACGUGAGUAAUCUGCCCUUCACUUUGGGAUAAGCACCGGAAACGGUGUCUAAUACCGGAUAUGAGCAUUCCACGCAUGUGGGGUGUUGGAAAGUUUUUUCGGUGGGGGAUGUGCUCGCGGCCUAUCAGCUUGUUGGUGGGGUAAUGGCCUACCAGGGCUUCGACGGGUAGCCGGCCUGAGAGGGUGACCGGUCACACUGGGACUGAGACACGGCCCAGACUCCUACGGGAGGCAGCAGUGGGGAAUAUUGGACAAUGGGCGGAAGCCUGAUCCAGCAACGCCGCGUGAGGGAUGACGGCCUUCGGGUUGUAAACCUCUUUCAGUACUGACGAAGCUCUCUGGGGUGACGGUAGGUACAGAAGAAGCACCGGCCAACUACGUGCCAGCAGCCGCGGUAAUAC
rnacentral:rRNA from 1 species